rnacentral:tRNA from 1 species
GGGGAUGUAGCUCAGUGGUGGAGCACUUGCUUAGCAUGCGUGAGGCCCUGGGCUCCAUUCCCAGCAUGGCCA